rnacentral:rRNA from 1 species
AACUCAAACCCCGGCGCUGAAUGCGUCAAGGAAUUUAAAAUUUGCUUUGAGCGCACCUGCAUCGAUCCGGAGACGGUUUGCGUGCGGGUUGUGUUUUGACACAUGUUAUAGAAUGACUCUCGGCAACGGAUAUCUAGGCUCUUGCAUCGAUGAAGAACGUAGCGAAAUGCGAUACUUGGUGUGAAUUGCAGAAUCCCGUGAACCAUCGAGUCUUUGAACGCAAGUUGCGCCCAAUGCCAUUAGGUUGAGGGCACGUCUGCCUGGGUGUCACAUAUCGAAGCCUUUUGCCAAUUUCCUAUUCAUAGGCAUUGUGCGGGGUGAACGUUGGCCUCCCGUGAGCUCUCUCGUCUCAUGGUUGGUUGAAAAUUGAGACCUUGGUAGGGUGUGCCAUGAUAUAUGGUGGCUGUGUGACCCACAAGACCAUAUCAUGUGCCCGCUCUAUCAAAUUUUACCCAUAUGCGUUGAUAAACGCUCGUGAUGAGACCUCAGGUCAGGCGAGGCUACCCGCUGAAUUUAAGCAUAUCAAUAAGCGGAGGAAAAGAAACUAACAAGGAUUCC